GGUCGUAUCGUCUUUUAUAUUUAUUUAAACGACUCGCCCAAAAUUCAGGUGUCACAUUAGUAUACGCAUUUUUAGUAGAUGUAGUAUCCUUUUUUAUGGUGGAAGAAGAUGUGCUGUUUCUAGAGGCGUGUCCUUUCGUGGGGUUCAUUCUGAAGUCGAUAUGUCUGUGUCGUAUCGAUUUGACUGUUAGCUUACGUUGGCAUUUUGGUACUUUAAUAAUUUCUGUGAAUCACUUUUCAUUUAUAUUCGAAUUCAUCUUUAUGACAGUCUCCUGUUUUAUUAGAAUUUGAAAGCUAACAGAACGUUUGGGCUAAAUCCUCUUUCUAUUCUCGCAUAACCUAAUAAUUGACAGGUUGUCAAGUGCUUUACUGUUUAUUUCCUACUUACUCUUUGGUAGACUAAGGGGCUAUUCUAAUUUCACGCGGACCCCUAACUGAGCUCACGGGUUCAACCUGAGUUAAUUGUCAACACUGGCCCUAGCAGAAUCAGUGCUUCUCUGAAUCUACCACCGGGUCGGAAUCGUGACGCAUCGAGAAGAUCCUGCGAGAAACACAGUGGUCACUGAAUCUAGAGGCACGUGGCACGUUUCUUCCGUGGCAUCGGUGGUCGCAACACUCGCCGCGAUGAUUGCAGCUAUUAAGAUGAGUCACGCUCAACGACGCGACUCAGCACCGCCUAUUUUAUCAAUAGAGAUCGGUGAUUUGAAGAUUUCAGCUCUUUCACAAUCACACCAUACCGAAUGUUUCCAUCAUUGUGAAUUUUGUAAUAACAAUUAAAUUUAUUAUCUAUACUAA